rfam:Nitrosopumilus sp. PRT-SC01 contig_557, whole genome shotgun sequence.
GGUACUCUGGCAGAACGGUUAUGCGUGGGCCUGCAAAGCCUAUACAAGGGGGUUCGACUCCCUCGGGUACCU